AACCCUGUGAGGAUAGUCAGACACUGGAACAAGUUCCCAGGAGAGGUUGUUGGGAGUCCUAAACCUUGGAAACACUCAAAAUCUGAUGGGAUAUAGCAUGAAAAACCUGCUCUAACUUAUCCCACUUUGAGCACGAGUGGGUUUGGACAAUAUGAUCUCCAGAGGCCCUUUCUAUCCUCACUAAUGCUGUGACUGUGAAGAGAUUGACAGUGCUGAUGCACACUGAAAACUGUUAUCUUUAUAUUACUAUUCCUUUUAUGGGUGGUGUAGCCAGGAGUUACAGGAUCAUUUUGAAGAGACGAUAAAAUCAGCUUUGACCAACCAGACAAACAGAAAAGCUAAAUAUGUCAAUAAAUAUUAUAUCCAAUGUUUUAAUCUUUGAUAUUGAUCUACUGGCUAGAGGAGAUGUAAACAAAAAAGAAAAAUGGCUUGUUGUUUUGCUCUAUGGGAUUUUGUUUAUUAAAAAAAGCUGUAGGAUACUGUGUGUAAACUAGACAGGGGUCUAGUUGACAGUGAAUUCUUAAUAAUCGCUGUGAUCAUGAUUCGCUUGUAGAUAUCCCUAUAAAUUUGGAAUAAUUAUUUCCAUUUAAGUGCAAAAUUCAUUGGAAUGUUGGCCUACUCUACAUAUAGGUUCCUGGCAGCACUGUGAUUCUUUCAGGGUUAAUGAUAAGAAGGAUAUUUAUGAUAUGAUGCUAUUUGGCUGGUGCUGGAAAGCCUGAAGGCCCAAAUAUUUGCCUUGCUGCCAAGAAAUUCCUCUAGCUCUGCAUCCUGCUUAUUUUACUGAGCCUUUUAUAACAUCUUGAUGGCUGAUUGUAAACACAUUAUCUGCCUGUGCCCUGGUGAUUUUGGCACACCCUGUAACAGAUAGCAGUCCUAUAGCCUUUAAAAGCAUAGCUCCUCAGAAUCUGACUUAGCUGUGACAAAACAAUGUCCUCUUUUACAGCAGAAAAAUAUGUGUAUGCACACUAUUUAACCACAAAUCUGUCUUAGAAGCAAAGUGGUGCCAUCAGUGCUAAUGAAUAGCCUUGUUUCCUCCUUUGCUGCAGUGGGAUUUAAUGGGAAAGAGAGAAAGAGUGAAAAUGCAUGCAUCUUUCCAGGCUGGAUCAUUAUUGUUGUCUGGCAUUUUAUUGUGGAAAGAAUAUUCUUCGCCAUCAGUGCAGCCUGAACAAAGGCCGCCAGGUGUCCCUGGAAGGAAGCAACCACUUGAUGAGGCUGACAGCCGACACGUUAUGGGUGUGAGGAGUUGAGGAAUGUUGCAUACGUGCGGUACCGGAGGGGCAGGGACACCCAGCCCGGCUCUUCUGAACUCUGCUAAUUGGAGCUGUUUGUCAUCACAUUCAAGUGUCUGUCCAGAGCUCUGCCCUCAUCACUCCGAACCGCCUGUGUAGCAAUGCCUGUGUGCCCCUGAGUCUCAGCACCCCAAGGGCCGGAGGUGCUAAACUGCCCUAUCAGACAAACGGCGGGGAGUGGUUUUGGUAGAUGACAACAUCGUGAAUAUAAAUGUGAAGUAUUUGGAAAUGUUAUUGUAUCAAGCAGCUUCAGCAACACAAGCUGUCCUACUAUCACUGAAGUGCAAUAAGGCCAGAGGAUGGAGCCAGACAGCCCCACGGUUUUCAGCUCCUGGAGAUGACAAUACAGGAGGAGCAGUAAACACCACUAUGUAUUAAAUUAAAGGGUGCUGCUUAUAAAUUAUAUCAUAGAGAAGAGGCAAAAUAACCUCCAGUUAUGUCAGUUAAUGUUCCUAAGAUAUAUGUGUGACCAAAAGCAGACAUUAGCAUCCCCAGGGGCUAGUCUGUGGUUGGACUGGUUAUUCUGCCUGUUAUAACUAUUAACAUGAAGAAACUGGAAGCCAAGAAAUUGGAGGAAGGAAGGAAGAAAAAAAAAAAAAAAAAGGAAGGCAUGGGGAGGUCUACCUGGUCAGAAUGAAUGAUACUUUUCACUAGGGGUCAGAGUUGUGAGACUAAGGAAAGAGAUCCCUC